GAUCCUGGCUCAGGACGAACGCUGGCGGCGUGCCUAAUACAUGCAAGUAGAACGCUGAAGAGAGGAGCUUGCUCUUCUUGGAUGAGUUGCGAACGGGUGAGUAACGCGUAGGUAACCUGCCUUGUAGCGGGGGAUAACUAUUGGAAACGAUAGCUAAUACCGCAUAACAAUGGAUGACACAUGUCAUUUAUUUGAAAGGGGCAAUUGCUCCACUACAAGAUGGACCUGCGUUGUA
rnacentral:rRNA from 1 species